rnacentral:lncRNA from 1 species
ACUUGGAAGGCUAUCGGGUUUGGCUUCGUUGAGCCGCCACCAGCAGCAAACACAUGCUACAACAGACCCAGAGAAGAAGAGCUCGGAGAGAUACAGACGGAGAUGCUCCCCGUUAUUUCCCACUCCUACACCAAUCGACUUGAGGAGCGAGAGAGAGAGAGAGAGGAGGGAGUUCAGUAAUCGGUGACAGGGAGCUGUUCAUGAGUGAUGUUUCCGAUGAAGAGGGUGUCGUAGACGAGGGCGGCGAUGGCGGCGCCGAUGAGGGGGCCGAGCCAGUAGACCCAGUGGUUGUCCCAGGUCCAGCUGACGACGGCGGGGCCGAAGGAGACGGCGGGGUUCAUGGACGCGCCGUCGAAGGCUCCGCCGGCGAGGAUGUUGGCGCCGACGAUGAAGCCGAUGGCGAUGGGAGCGAUGACUCCGAGGUCCCCCUUCUUCGGGUCAACGGCUGUCGCGUAGACGGUGUAGACCAGCCCGAAGGUCAUCACGAUCUCG